rnacentral:rRNA from 1 species
AUUGAACGCUGGCGGCAGGCCUAACACAUGCAAGUCGAACGAGUGGCGGACGGGUGAGUAAUGUCUGGGCACCUGCCCGAUGGACGGGGCUAACUACGGGAACCGGUAGCUAAUACCACAUACCAUCGGAUGUGCCCAGAUGGGAUUAGCUAGUAGGGGGGGUAACGGCUCACCUAGGCGACGAGCCCUAGCUGGUCUGAGAGGAUGACCAUCCACACUGGAACUGAGACACGGUCCAGACGCCGACGGGAGGCAGCAGUGGGGAAGAUUGCACAAUGGGCGCAAGCCUGAUGCAGCCAUGCCGCGUGUAUGAAGAAGGCCUUCGGGUUGUAAAGUACUUUCAGCGAGGAGGCGUUACUCGCAGAAGAAGCACCGGCUAACUCCGUGCCAGCCGCCGCGGUAAUAC